AAGACUAGACUUUCAGGGAUCAUGUCUAUAGCUUGUUACUAGACAAGUUUCUCUGAUAGUGUAGAGAACCGGAAACCAGGAGGAGGAGAUGCAGCGUUCUCGCCUGAGCAUGAAAUCGGCUCUUGGCAUUGCUUCGGUAACUGCCAUUUGCCACUGAUGAUCGUUCUUUUUCUCUCCUUGGAGAAUGGGAGGGGAGAGCGCGUUCUGACUGGC